UACAGAGGGGGCAAGCGUUAUUCGGAAUUAUUGGGCGUAAAGGGCGCGUAGGCGGCGAUUCAAGUGACGGGUGAAAUCCCUCGGCUUAACCGAGGAACUGCCUGUCAGACUGGGUUGCUUGAGGCCGGGAGAGGUGAGUGGAAUUCCCAGUGUAGCGGUGAAAUGCGUAGAUAUUGGGAGGAACACCAGUGGCGAAGGCGGCUCACUGGACCGGUACUGACGCUGAGGCGCGAAAGCGUGGGGAGCAAACAGG
rnacentral:rRNA from 1 species